GUUCUUUACUCAUAUAUUCCAGAAUAUAUCAGGACCCAGAAGGAUAUUGGUAUUGCUACCAGGUUUGGAAAGUUUAGCAAAUUAAGCUGACUCUCUGGAUAUCUUCCAAUACAGAUGAGGAAGCAGCAAAAACAAGGGUUGCUGGAAAGUAACUCCUUUAGACAGAUAGACAUUAACCUCCUCCUCAAAAACUGAAGCAAGGCAUGGGCAUGCACAGCAAAGCAGUAUGCUAUACAGAUGGCUUGCCAGCUCCUCGCUAUUGACAAUACAUGUCUAAUCUUCUUGCCAGUGAUGUCUGACAGUAUAGGAUCAGCAGCUCCUGCCUGCAGUAUGCUGCCAGAAAACAGUCCUCAAAAGUUCUGCAGAACCCAGACCCGAUUGCUGGACAGAGAAGAGAACAAGGAAAUACAGAAAAUAAGGGUGAUGAAUAUAAAAGUAAACAAUUUAUCUUUGUGAAAAGUAGGUUUAAAUGAAAGUGCUUCAUCAUCAAGUCUUAAAAAUGACCAAGCGAGUAACUGUCUACACAAAACUUACAAUACAGCUAAAUACUACAGACUGUUUAGGCCCAAGGUCUGCAUCAAUUGCCUCAGGUUGUGAUUUAUUUUUGAAUGUUUUGCCUCACAAGGCUAAACCUUCUGCUGCAGAAUCUAGGCCCUGGCUACCAUACCAGAAAAAAACUCAAAACUGAAGUGUCAGCUACUUGUUUGUUUGGAUUUACCCCACCCCCCAGAUUUAUUCAAACCUCCAUAUUUUAAAUUUUUACUCCAGAGAGGACUGGAAGAG
rnacentral:lncRNA from 1 species